rnacentral:tRNA from 2 species
UGGCGCAUUGGUCAAUGGGUUAAGACGGUAGCCUUUCACGCUACAGUAACGGGUUCGAGUCCCGUAUGCGCUAUCAU